rnacentral:rRNA from 1 species
GUCAAUGCUCCACAUCGGAUCUCUUGGUUUUGGCAUCGCUGAAGUGAUCUCUAAGAGAGGACUGCCUCCCUUAAUUGCAGAAUUCAGUGAAUCAUCGAAUCUUUGAACGCACAUUGCGCCCGCCAGUAUUCUGGCGGGCAUGCCUGUUCGAGCGUC